rnacentral:lncRNA from 1 species
UAUCGUGCACCAAGCCUAGUAGAUGCUCGUCAUUUCGGAUAAUAAUUUCUUCUUUAUAUAACAUUGGGAUAAGAUCAUCUUCAUAUAACAUUCCGAUCUGCCGUGGUUCUGUUUCUGAGAAGAAAAUAAGUGCUUCCUUUCUUAAAGUUGCUCCAUCAAUCCCAAGCUUAUUACCGGACAUUUCUAAUACACGAAAAGGAAGUUGAUUUUUCGAGCAGCAACAAAUCUUCUGCCACAAUAGAUAGAUUCAAAUUCUGCUUGAAGAGGGCAUCGUUUUCUUCUCUCAAUUUUGGAUCCAUGACUUUGCGAAAGAGUUGAACAACAAAC